rnacentral:sRNA from 1 species
GCUCAGCUCCUGGAACUCCGGACAAACAACUACCAGCUUUCAGAUGAACUACGCAAGAAUGGUGUUGAACUCACCAGUCUUCGACAGAAGGUCGCCUACUUGGAUAAGGAGUUCAGCAAAGCUCAGAAGGUACCUCCCUCCACCCACCCAUCCACCUACCCAUCCACCCUGGCCUCUACCUAUCUGACUCAUUCAUCCCUCCAGUGAGCACCUACAGUGAACCAGACCUAAUGUUGCAUGCUGUUUUCAUGUAGUCAUUUAAAGGAUUCUCAUGGAAUUCUCUUUAGUUGCUAAUUUUACUUAAUCCUGCUUAAUUUAUUGAUUAAUUUUAAUUUAAAUCAUUUCUAAUUUCAGUUACUCAUUCUCAUUCACUGACUUUUAAUUAA